rnacentral:lncRNA from 1 species
AAUGGACAAUUGUUUUUGUUCUGUGAAAUUUUAAGGGCCUCGAUGGUCCUUUGUUAAUGUGAACGUUGAUGGGUUGGUUAUUAUGUGUAAACUGUGUUGUCGAAAUUUUGCAUAAAACCACACAUUUAACAUUUGAUAGUGCCCAUGACAAUUAUGUAAUCGAAACAAAAGGAAAAAAUUUGUUCGAUGGAAAUAAAUGCUGAUG